AUACUUACCUGGCAAGGGAGAUACCGUGAUCAAGAAGGCGGUUUACCCAGGGCGAGGCUCAGCCAUUGCACUCCCGCUGUGCUGACCCCUGCGAAUUUCCCAAAUGUGGAAAUCUCGAUUGCAUAAUUUAUGGUAGUGGGGGACUGCGUUCGCGCUCGCCCCUG
rnacentral:snRNA from 8 species